rnacentral:rRNA from 1 species
AGAGUUUGAUCUUGGCUCAGAACGAACGCUGGCGGCGUGCUUAAUACAUGCAAGUCGUGCGAGAAAAGGGGCAACCCUUAGUACAGCGACGAACGGGUGAGUAACGCGUAAGUAAUCUUCCUCUAAAUCGGGAAUAACUCUGCUAACGCGGAGCUAAUACCGGAUGUGAAUCGUUUGCCGCAUGGGGAGCGAUUCAAAGGUGACCUCUACCUGUAAGUUACCGUUUAGAGAUGAGCUUGCGUACCAUUAGCUAGUUGGCAGGGUAACGGCCUACCAAGGCUUUGAUGGUUAGCCGGCCUGAGAGGGUGAUCGGCCACAUUGGGACUGAGAUACGGCCCAGACUCCUACGGGAGGCAGCAGUAGGGAAUUUUGCGCAAUGGAUGAAAGUCUGACGCAGCAACGCCGCGUGAGUGAUGAAGGUCUUCGGAUUGUAGAGCUCUGUUGAGUGGGAAGAACGGUCCCGCAAAUAAUACGUGCGGGACGUGACGGUACCAUUCGAGGAAGCUCCGGCCAACUACGUGCCAGCAGCCGCGGUAAUACGUAGGGAGCAAGCGUUGUUCGGAAUUACUGGGCGUAAAGGGAGAGUAGGCGGGAAGGCAAGUUAAAAGUGAAAUGCAUGGGCUUAACCCAUGACCUGCUUUUAAUACUGCUUUUCUUGAGUAUGGGAGAGGAUGAUGGAAUUCCAGGUGUAGCGGUGGAAUGCGUAGAUAUCUGGAAGAACACCAGUUGCGAAGGCGGUCAUCUGGCCCAAUACUGACGCUGAGGCUCGAAAGCUAGGGGCGCAAACAGGAUUAGAUACCCUGGUAGUCCUAGCCUUAAACGAUGGACACUAGAUGUUGGGGGAGUCAAUCCUUUCAGUAUCGUAGCUAACGCGUUAAGUGUCCCGCCUGGGGAGUACGCUCGCAAGGGUGAAACUCAAAAGAAUUGACGGGGGCCCGCACAAGCGGUGGAGCAUGUGCUUUAAUUCGAUGCAACGCGAAGAACCUUACCUGGGCUUGACAUGGGAAUGAAAGAUCUCAGAGACGGGAUCCCUUCCGCAAGGAACAUUCUACACAGGUGCUGCAUGGCUGUCGUCAGCUCGUGUCGUGAGAUGUUGGGUUAAGUCCCGCAACGAGCGCAACCCCCGUCCUUAGUUGCCAUCAGGUCAUGCUGGGAACUCUAAGGAUACUGCCUGGUUUAACCAGGAGGAAGGUGGGGAUGACGUCAAGUCAUCAUGGCUCUUACGUCCAGGGCUAGACACGUGCUACAAUGGCCGGUACAAUGGGCUGCGAGGCUGCAAAGCCAAGCUAAUCCCCGAAAACCGGUCUCAGUUCGGAUUGAAGUCUGCAAUUCGACUUCAUGAAGCUGGAAUCGCUAGUAAUCGCGGAUCAGAAUGCCGCGGUGAAUACGUUCCCGGGCCUUGUACACACCGCCCGUCAAGCCAUGAAAGAUGGGAGUACCCAAAGUCACUUCUUUAACCGCAAGGGGAAGGGUGCCUAAGGUAAAACCAUUGAUUGGGGCUAAGUCGUAACAAGGUA